CAUAGCAAUGCUUCAUGUUCAAGAGAACCAUUCGCUCUCUAGCCUCUACCAUCAAGUUCACCAAACAAAGUAUUCCUCAACAACCAAUUUCGGUACACGCACGCGUUCAGUACACGCGUCACUACACGAUGCAAAUGAAGAACUGAGAAGAGUGGUUGGCCAUUGAAGAGGUCGAGCAUGGGCAGCUGUUGGAGAAGAACAUGACAGGGUCCUGGAACAUGGGCGAGAUCCAUGGCCUCACCGGCGACAGGGACGACACGACCGACUGAAGAAUCAAGCGUCAUGGGCAAGCAAGCCACUGCUCGUAGCUUCAGGGAAAGAGCGCCGAGUCAAGUUCCAUCUGUAGAGU
rnacentral:lncRNA from 1 species